rnacentral:lncRNA from 1 species
AUUGUUACAACUUUUGCAUGGCUUCUUGAUAUUCAUGAUCUAGUUAUUGACAUUGUUGUCAGGGGGAUCAUUCAUAGGGUACGCGAUUACAUAAACCCGUGAAUCAGCUGAAAUGUGAUACAAUAGAAUGAAAAUGACUAAUAGACAAUCAUGCAUAUUGUUUGAAUCAAGAGGGAUGUGUGGUGUGUUUUCUUGUAUGAGCAAGUAUGGCAUGCUCUUGUUUGUCGUCAUAACUCAUAAGAAGAGUAUGCACUUAAGUUGAUCCAUUUUCGUCAAUACAUCCAACGCGAUAUCAGGCAUAAACUCAGAACUUUUUUCAUCAAAGAUAUCAAAGAUGUCAAUACAUCCAACGCGAUACCAAAUGGUUUCACAGCACAUAUAGGCAGGGGAGAAAGAUCGAGCGAGUUCAAUCUGAUAGUAUAUUUGUGAAUAGUGAUCAUACACCUAGCCAAUAGACCAGGGAUAUGAGAAGUCUGCAAUAGUGAAAUAUAAUGAUGAGAAAUAUCAUAACACCUAGCCUUAUCGACACAUUUAAGCUAAGCUAGCUUGUUUUUACAGAUGAAUAUUGCAAGUAUUUUAUGUUCUGAUGGUCGCUCGUUUUUUUUUUGUCUGUAAAUUUAUUCGACAGCAAGGUCUAAUCAACAUUAAAAAUUUAAUCGCACCUCAUUUGAUACAACUACUGCUUGGUCGUACCGAUGAUUUAAUCUUAAAUGUUUAACCUAGUUUAAAAAUAGUUCGAUGAAAAGGAUCUACUUUAUACAGACAUUUACUUGAAGUAUAUAAUUUACAGAUUGCACCCGGAGAGUCUUAAACUUUUUAAAUGCUGGCAAAAAAAUUAUCAGGUUGGAGUCAGAAUGAGAGAAUCCUACUGUCAGCAAUUUGAUAAUAUAUAUACCAGAGCAGUCAAUUUUCGAUUUUCAAUUAGACGCAAUCAGUAUGAUACCAGAACCAAGCUGUUUGAAUUAUUGUCGCUAAUUUAAGAACAUGGCAAAGUCAUCCAACAUGGUACAUGAGACGAAUGGCGUCUACCAUUUAUCUAACUUACGGAUUCUAUCCCCUGCAUCGUCAUUUCAUUUCCACCAUGUCAGCUUCCAUUAUGCUUCAUGCUUCAUGCAUAACCUGUUUUUCCAACUAACCCCUGUAAUAAACUGUUCCAUACUUGUUUGACCUGAAAUGGACAAUCAAAGAGUAUGACUAGCUCAAAUAUGUUUUUCUUUUUUUCCAACACUCACUCUCUUUUUGCAUUUACGCAACUUUUAAAUACUUCAACACCCACCUUCCAAAGAUACACACACACAAAUAUAUAUAUCUUCUCUGCUUCUCCCUUUCUCCCCACAAAAACAGAUGGGUUUCUUUACUGUUUUGAUGAUCCUUUU